CGAGUCCCAAAUAGGACGAAAUGAGCAUCCUGGAU
rnacentral:hammerhead_ribozyme from 1 species